rnacentral:rRNA from 1 species
AGGACGAACGCUGGCGGCGUGCUUAACACAUGCAAGUCAAGGGGGCCCAGCAAUGGGCAACCGGCGAACGGGUGCGUAACACGUGAGCAACCUACCGAACUGUGGGGGAUAGCCGGCCUAACGGCCGAGUAAUACCGCAUACGCUCUCAGGGAGGCAUUUCUUUGAGAGGAAACCUACGGGACAGGUCGAGGGGCUCGCGGCCUAUCAGCUAGUUGGCGAGGUAACGGCUCACCAAGGCAACGACGGGUA